rnacentral:rRNA from 1 species
UGUAGCCUACGGGAGGCAGCAGUGAGGAAUAUUGGUCAAUGGGAGAGAUCCUGAACCAGCCAAGCCGCGUGAGGGAAGACGGCGCUAUGGGUUGUAAUCCUCUUUUGUCGGAGAACAAAACCCGGGACGAGUCCCGGACUGCGUGUAUCCGAAGAAAAAGCAUCGGCUAACUCCGUGCCAGCAGCCGCGGUAAUACGGAGGAUGCGAGCGUUAUCCGGAUUUAUUGGGUUUAAAGGGUGCGUAGGCGGCCCGUUAAGUCAGCGGUAAAAUUGCGGGGCUCAACCCCGUCGAGCCGUUGAAACUGG